UCCUCCUAUUCUCCUAUCCUCCGUAUUCUCUCUCUUUUUUUCUGUCUAUCUUGUUCAUCCUAGCACAAAAUCACCCCAUAAACAAAAUCUUUCACAACCACCGUCACCAUAACCUCCGACGCCGCCAUCUCUAUCUCCUCGUUCUGUACCUCCAUCCGUCGCUGCCACCAUCAUCUUCAUCUCCACCUCCUCGUUCUCUACAUCUGCCAAUAAACUCUGUCUCAACCACUCCUUUUAUCUAUCCUCCUAUAAAAGCUUCUUCUUUUCCAGAUGCAUAUUCAUGGUUAUAGUUAACACCAACCGUAUCUCAGGUUUGUUAUAUGUUCCUUGUUUUGUUUUGAGACUUUUGAAUGAUUAGUGUUGUUUGACAAGAUUGUAACUUGAUUAAAUGGGGAUUUGACUUCAGGGACGGGGAAGAGGAAGUCGUAGUGUCACAACAUUGAUGGGUAUGUCUGAUGCAGUCCAUAUUCAAUAGCCAUUGUUCUCUCUCUGUGUUUGGAAUUUAAUUUUUGAUUUGUUUGUUCUUGUCACAGGAAGAAGCCAGAUAUGAAGAAGCUGUGCUGGUGGAGAUGGAGCCGAACAAGAAGAAGAAAAAGAGAAAGAGGGAGAAGACAGACAUAAGGAAGACGAAGAAGAUGGAAGAGGACGACGGUAACGACAGAACACGCGAUGGGAGGAAGGCAGCGGCGUAGAUUAGGUUUAGUUUUGGUUGGUUUAUUAGGUUUGGUUUAAAUAGGGUUAGUUUAAUAAACCGGGUUUUUGUAUAAACCAAUGUUAAUAAAUAAACUAAUAUUAGUUGUAAACCAAUUCUUUGUAUAGUGAUUUUAAUUAAUAAAUAAAAUUUAAUUUUUAAUUUUUAAUUAUGAAUUAUGAAUUAAUUUUUGAUUUAGUAAUUUGAAUGAUUUAAUAAUGAAUUAUGUUUUGGUUUGGUUUGGUAAUUUGUUUUUAAUAAAUUUUUGAAUAAUUAAAAAAUAAAUUAAUAACACGAAACAUUUGCUAUCCGCAUUCGAAAAAUCCGCUAUCAAAAAUGUCCGACCUAUUAUAUAGGGCACUGUCAGAACGUUUUAGGAAGCACUAUUAUAACAAAUUUAUAGCAUUUAACAGCUGCUAUUAAUAUUCACAAUAGUGAAAAAAAUGAUGGAAGCACUAAAAAGAGGAAGUUUGACGAUGGUGCACAAUCAUCAACCUCUCACGCAACUGAAAGCAAGACUUCUGAAGCUGAUGAAGGCACCAAUCGUCCCCGGGUGUUAAGGCAUCUAAGGCACGUGGUAAGAAGACGACGGUUGAGGGGAAGGGGCUGUCUGAGUUUCAGACAAUGUGGUCCAUUAAACAGCAGGAUCUGGCCAUGAAAAAAGGCUCUCAAGAUGUCUCUGCUUGACAGGCUAAUUACAAAAAAAGAACCACUGUGUGAGUGUGAGGAAGUUCUAAAGAAGAAGCUGAUUAAUGAUUUGUUGUCUGUUUGAGUUUAUGUCAUCAAUGGUUAACUAUUUAAGUUCCUUUAUAUGUUGUUUGUUGUAUUUUCGCUUAGAAAUUUAAGUUUCUGUUUGUGUUUGUUGUUCUGGUCAUGUAAUGGAUUUUCUGUAUUUCGGAAGUAUUAAAGUUCAACUUUGUGUUUCUUGUUGUUGUUCUCUUCAAAGUGUCUUUCGUGUUUGAUUUCAAGUUUGUUUUUCUUGUUCUUGUUCUCUUCUUUGGAUGGUGGCUAAACUUGUGUAUGUUGCUCUGAUUUUCAGGUUGGACAAUCAACAUACGCAGAGAGCUUUCAGUUUGGACACAAGACCGAACAAGCUUCUUGUUCUUGUUCUGAUGAUGGGGUGAGAGUUGCCAAAGAUGAGAAAGCAUCUGCACUUCGUCGAUGUCACCUUCAUACAUGUUCAGCCUUCUCUCUAUCUCUUUUCCAAUAUAUGUUUUGGAGUAAUUCUAAAAGUCAGAUUGGUGAAAACUAGUUAGGGUGAUGCUGACGAGUAUUUGGAUGUUAGUCAUUCGUAGGAAGAAAUAAAUCAUUGAAGCUGUCAUUAUAUUUAUGUGAAAAUAGAUUCGACAUUUUCGAAUGGAUAAUGAAAGUAGAGAGUCAUCAAAGUGAAUGAGCAACAAAAAACACUAAAACUCAACAAUGCUUAUUAUUGGUAUAUAUAUGUUUUUCUGUGAGUUAGGAAGCAUCGAUUGUAUGCAUUGGGAAUGGAAGAAUUGUCCCACCGCUUGGAAAGGGCAUUAUUCUCUCGGUUCUGGAAAACCCACAAUCGUUUUAGAGGCGGUUACUUCAUAUGAUCUCUGGAUAUGGCAUGCGUUUUUUGGACCUCUAAGUACCUUAAAUGAUAUCAAUGUUCUUGAUCGUUCACCUAUUUUUGAUGACAUAAUAAAUGGUCAAGUUCCGCAAGUGAAUUUCUCGGUCAACUGAAGAGAGUAUCAUUUGGCUUACUAUCUCACUGAUGGUAUUUAUCCGAAAUGAGUCCUAGCUCCUUGUGGAUUCGAUCCCUAAUUACUACAAUUGGACCUCUUAUUUGAGAGAGUAAAAUCAAUCCUUAGGAUAAUUUGAGUGAUAUCAGUUGCAUCUUCUCGUCUCCAUCACUCGUCGCUCUCUCGUCUCUCGUCCUUGGUUGCAAGGUGGAGCAGCGUCGAAGGCGGCGGCAGCGAAUCCUGAGAUUCUAUCCAAUUAGCGGAAAUGAAAAAGACAGAGGAAGAGGAUCCCGAGUUUCUCUACCAUAUGGCGUCCAUUGCUUCUAACCUGUAUAGAUGGUCCUCGCCUCGAAACCCUAGCAUAUAUUAAUCGUUGUACCUGCGUUUCUUUUCUGAUUGCUCGUGAUUGUUUUGGUGGCAGAUGAUGUUAGGUUUCUGCAAAGUUAGUUUCAUUGUAAAAUUAAAGGGCUUUUAUCUUCUUUUGUGUUUAGGUUGGAGCUGUAAGUAAUGAAAGUGUUGAACGUUCGAGUCUGUUGGAUCAAAUAGAACUUGAAUUUGAAGGUAUGUUAAGAUCUCAAUCUCUAUUUCUCAUAGUGAUUGUGUUUAUGGUUUAAUAGGACGUUGAAUCAAGCAAAAGCCUUCUAAACAUAGAAAGUCAAAUCUUUGUUAAGUCUCAGUGAUUGUUUCUUGAUUAAUUGCAGCUCAUCUCAAUGGUCAACCAAGCGGGAUCCGAUGGUGUCAAGGCUGAGUCCAAGGACGGUGAAGACCUAUAUGUAUGAACAACCUCCUCUUUUAAAUGAAUCUUUUGUUUCUUCAUGUUCUUAUGUGUCUCUUGUUCCAGCUGCUGGGAGACAGAAGAUCAUGUUGGAAGACAUGGUUGCCUAAGACAUGUUUUGUAGUAAAACAGAUAUAACUAUGCACACAGACUGCAAAGGUGGACUAGGGACAAGUAGGUGUCUGAGAAGGCGUUGGGAGUGCUCACGUGGACUGGUAAUAGGUCCACACAAUAACAAGAAGAAAGAAGGAUCCGGAAUUCAUCAAGAACAUCUCCUGUUCGGCUGUUCGUCUUUAGUUUCAUUUUCGAAUUCGGGAGAUUUAUACUUUUGAUUCUUGAAACUGAAAAGUUCUUGUCUUUAUAGCUAAAAAGUCAAUCUGUUUUGUAACUCUUUAGAAUUUUGGAGAGAUGGUUAUGAUAAUGUAUGGGAAUGUUAUAUGAUAAAAAAAAAAUCUAAUACUAAUAACAAAUUAGAAAAAGAACAAAAAAAUUAUUUUUUUACCUCACAAUCUGAACCCUAAACAUGCCCUAAACUCCAACAUCCAACACUUAUAAAAAAAUUUCAUAAUUAACAUUUGUAGAAAUUAAUAGCUAAAGCAAUAGUAUAUUACUUUAAAAAUGAUUUUAACAUGUUUUUUCAAACUUAAUCUCAUACCUUAUAUCUAAUCUAAAACUAUAUACUUAAUUCAAAUUUCCAAACCCAUUAUUCUUUACCCUAAACUCUAUUCAAAAUUAAAUUAUUUUAGUAUUUUAGUCAAUCACACAACCACAAAAAAAAAAUUUUGCUAGUCAUCUCGAAUCCUUGUAUGUUUUAGAUCUUUAAUGGAAAAACAUAUGUUAUCUUAUGAUUGUUUUUUGUUAACUCCAAACCCUAUCCUAAAAAUAAAAUAUUUUACUUCAAACCCUAAGUAUUAAACCACAAAUUAUAAAUCUAAAGUUUAAAAGUCUAAUCUUUUAAAAAUUUAUCCUCGAAUUUCACUAUAAAUCCCAAAGCCCACAACCCAUAAAUUAGAAACCACAAAACAUAAUUUUUAAAACUCCUAAACUCUAAAUCCUAAACUACAAAUACAAACCUUAUUCUAAACCCUAAGUGUAUAUUACUUUCAAAUACAUUUUUUUGAAAUCUAAAAAUUAAAAUCCAAAUUUACUCUUCCAAACUUUAACUUCAAAUUUUUAUUUUUAACCAUAAACUAUACUUCAUAAACCUCAACCUUUUUUACCUUAUUUAUAAACCUACAUAUAUCAUAAAUUUAGUCUCUAAUUCUUUUUUUUUAAAUUACAAACUUAAAAAAUAACUCUAUUUUGUAAACCCUAAAUUCCAUUUACUACAAAUAUGUGUGGCUUUGUGUAUUAAAAAGGAAAAAAAAAUAGAAAAAUCUGAUUGGUCAAAAAGUGACCACUAAGAUGCAAGUUUGAGGAUCACACUUUCUUUUAACCACAGCCAAUAGAUCAAACUAAAUCCAAUAUGGCCAAUAAUGAACAAAAUGAAAAUUUGUUUCUUCCUAUCCUCCUAUUCUCCUAUCCUCCGUAUUCUCUCUCUUUUUUUCUGUCUAUCUUGUUCAUCCUAGCACAAAAUCACCCCAUAAACAAAAUCUUUCACAACCACCGUCACCAUAACCUCCGACGCCGCCAUCUCUAUCUCCUCGUUCUGUACCUCCAUCCGUCGCUGCCACCAUCAUCUUCAUCUCCACCUCCUCGUUCUCUACAUCUGCCAAUAAACUCUGUCUCAACCACUCCUUUUAUCUAUCCUCCUAUAAAAGCUUCUUCUUUUCCAGAUGCAUAUUCAUGGUUAUAGUUAACACCAACCGUAUCUCA
rnacentral:lncRNA from 1 species